ACACAAUGAUUUUCAGACAACUGCCCAUUCGCCAAUUCCAACCACCUCGGCCCACUGCCCAAAUCCAACGUUUCUGGUCUCCGGGCGGCGCUGCCUUAGCAGGAUCCGCCGCCAGGUGGCGCGCUCCCCCCGCCCGGAGUGGGUUUUGUUCCAUCCCGGACUUAGAUCUUCCAAGACGGCGAUUUCCUUCUGGUCGGGUCUCUUCCCGAGGAUCCGCUUUACUCGUACUAGAAACUCUGACCUCGAAUGCAGUUCCAGAAGCAGAACCCUGUAGGGGGUUUCAGGCGGCCAAGAAGGGAAGUGGUUCUCCUAAGACCGUCCCGGCUUCAGUCCACGGCGCUCACUAAAUGCCUCCCACGCCAGACGAGGUCCCCCGUCCCCGGAGCUCGCGUCCCAGAGUUGUAGCCUCCCUUCAGGAUGUGGAUUCACAUGCAACAUGAGUGAGAUGAAAACUCACUAUGCUGCCCAGACUCGUCUCGAACUCCUGGGUGUCACGCGUGUCCGUAUAGAAGACCACCUAAACAGGCUUUGUGUUCACGUGUUGAAAUCCUAACUCCAAAUAUGAUGAUAGGAGGAGAUGGGGCCUUCGGGAGGUGAUGAGGUCAUGAGGGUGGAAUCCUCAUGAAUGGUCUCAACGCCCUUAGAAAAGAGACCCCAGAGACCUCGCUCCCGCUUUCUACUGUGGGAGAAUGCAGCAAGAAGUCAGCCGUCUAUGAACAAGGAAGCAGGUCCUCUCCAGGCACUGAAUGUACCAGUGCCUUGAUCUUGGACUUCCCAGCCUCCAGAACUAUGACAAUAAAUUCUGUUGUUUAAGCUACAUGGUCUAUGAUACUUUUGUUAAAGAAGCCCAAAGUGACUAAGACAGGCAUCAAACAAUAUAUUGUCCUUUGUGAUGGAUCCUUUCACUUUGCAUAAUGUUUUCAAGGUCUAUCCAUUUUAUACCACAUAACAGCACCUCCUUUGCUUUCAUGGCUGAAUAAUAUUCCAC
rnacentral:lncRNA from 1 species